GCGCGAGUGGUGGAAUUGGUAGACACGCUAGCCUUAGGAGCUAGUGCCGUUAAGGUAUGGAGGUUCGAGUCCUCUCUCGCGCACCA
rnacentral:tRNA from 1 species